ACUUGAUAAAAGGAGAGACUCUCUGUCAGCUGCCCGCAUCCUCCCUGAAGCUCUGGAAUCUGACUUCAUGGAGCAUUUGAGCAGCUAAGCUUUUCCUGACCCCCUCCCUCCCACCACCACUCCCGCCUUCCCCCAGUUGCUGAGCAUAAUUGAGAAUUAAUUGCAUGUCUGCUUAUUAUUUUGCUUACUUAAUUUGGUCUAAACGUUGUUCACACUCCAGACUUAAGGCCUGGAAGUGGCUGUCUUCAGUAGGAGACUUGGGAGUGCUCUCCUGUAGGAUCCAAGACUUCUCAUCUUUCCGAUGCGAACUGAAUUAUGCUAGCAUGUCAACCAGGACAUUUCAGAGAAGCAUCGAACAGAAACGUGUUAGUAAACCUCUUACCAGAACACCCUCACUAUCGAUUUUUUUUUGUCACUAAAACACAAACCAGCAUGGGACAUUAAACAGGACCUUUGGUAUUUGGUGUUGGGAAAAUGCCCCCUUGGAUCUAGAGCUCUUUAGGAGUAAUGGCUUCCCGAAAAGAACUAUAGAGAAAAAGAAGGCAGAAUAACCCAGGUGCCUGAGCAUCUUUGAGGAGGCCCCGAUGUGACUACCUGAAACCAGUCUAUGUCAGCACUUCUUGCUACCUGAGAUAUACAUUAUUCAUGGUUUAAGCCAUUCUGAGUCAGGACUUUUUUUUUAUUGAAACUCGGAGCUGGAAAUAGCCAAGUUUACCCACCAAGAAUAACAUCUGGAUUAUGAACCCUGGAAAUAUAACCACUGUCAUUUUGUGUCCCUGGACUAUAUUAAGCUCUACCACAUGGUUUCCAACUUGAGAGUCACUUAGGUUGUCUGUACAGGUGUAUGAGGAAAAGAAAAUCUUAUUUAUGAAUGGAGUGUGGUGAUACACCCUAUCCCGAGCUUUUGUCCCCACCAGCAAGAACAUGCUCAGGACAACCGGAAUCUUCUGCGGCAAAAGCUUUAUUGCUUACUUCUUUAGGAACAAGAGGAGAAGAAUAGGGGCGAAUGGCAAAACCCUGUCCCUUUUAUGGAGGAUUGUCCUCCGCCUCGGACAUGUCGCUCCCUGAUUGGCUGCAGCCCAUCAACCGAGUUGUCGUCAAGGGGAAGGCAGAGCACAUGGAGUGGAGAACUACCCCGGCACAUGCGCAGAUUAUUUGUUUACUACUUAGAACACAGGAUGUCGGCGCCAUCUUGUAAUGGUGAAUGUGAGGGUGGCUCCUCACAACAUCCCUUUAAUCCCAGUACUGAAGGCAGAGGCAGGUGGAUUUCUGAGUCUGAAGACAGCCUGGUAUAGAGAGCUAGUUCCAGGGCUAUACAAGAAGACUCUGUCUUGCAAAAAAUGAAACAAAACAAAAUAAAACAAAUGAAUAAACAAAAA
rnacentral:lncRNA from 1 species